AACGGGGCAGACAACAGGGAUGCCCCAGUAACGGCGAGUGAAGCGGCAGGAGCUCAAAUUUGAAAUCUGGGGUCCCCGACCUCCGAGUUGUAAUUUGGAGAGGCAUCUUCGGGGGGGAGCGCCGGCCCAUGUUCCUUGGAACAGGACGUCACAGAGGGUGAGAAUCCCGUGCCAGGCCGGCUCCCUCCUCCCGGGUGAAGCGCCUUCGACGAGUCGAGUUGUUUGGGAAUGCAGCUCCAAGUGGGUGGUAAGUUUCAUCUAAAGCUAAAUACCGGCGGGAGACCGAUAGCGCACAAGUAGAGUGAUCGAAAGAUGAAAAGCACUUUGAAAAUAGAGUCAAAAAGUACGUGAAAUUGUUGAAAGGGAAGCGCUUGAGACCAGACUCAGGCCCGGGCAAACACCGCGCCCCCAGGGGCCGUGCAAUUGCCUGGGGCUGGGCCAGCAUCAGUCGGCGUGGCGGGACAAAGGCGCGGGGAAUGUGGCUCCCCUCGGGGAGUGUUACCAGCCCCGCGCUCAAUGCCGCCGACGCCGACUGAGGACCGCGCCUCGGCUAGGAUGCUGGCUUAAUGGCCUUCAGCGACCCGUCUUGAAACACGGACCAAGGAGUCUAACAUCUAUGCGAGUGUUUGGGUGCCAAACCCUUGCGCGGAAUGAAAGUGAGCGGAGGUGGGAACCCCCCAGCGGGGCGCACCAUCGACCGAUCCUGAUGUCUUCGGAUGGAUUUGAGUAGGAGCAUAGCUGUUGGGACCCGAAAGAUGGUGAACUAUGCCUGAAUAGGGUGAAGCCAGAGGAAACUCUGGUGGAGGCUCGCAGCGGUUCUGACGUGCAAAUCGAUCGUCAAAUUUGGGUAUAGGGGGCGAAAGACUAAUCGAACCAUCUAGUAGCUGGUUCCUGCCGA
rnacentral:rRNA from 1 species